GAUGAAGAACGUAGCGAAAUGCGAUAAGUAAUGUGAAUUGCAGAAUUCAGUGAAUCAUCGAAUCUUUGAACGCACAUUGCGCCCGCUAGUAUUCUGGCGGGCAUGCCUGUUCGAGCGUCAUUUCAACCAUCAAGCCCCUUAGCUUGUGUUGGGGACCUGCGGCUGCCGCAGCCCCCGAAAUGCAGUGGCGGGCUCGUUGUCACACCGAGUGCAGUAAUCAUUCUUCUCUCCGGGCGUGGCGGCGGGUUCCGGCCGUAAAAUCACCAAUUUAUCAAGGUUGACCUCGGAUCAGGUAGGAAUACCCACUGAACUUAAGCAUAUCAAUAAGCGGAGGA
rnacentral:misc_RNA from 1 species